rnacentral:rRNA from 1 species
UACGUAGGUGGCAAGCGUUGUCCGGAUUUAUUGGGUUUAAAGGGUGCGUAGGCGGCUUUGUAAGUCAGUGGUGAAAUAUGGCAGCUCAACUGCCAGGGUGCCAUUGAUACUGCAGAGCUUGAGUACAGAUGAGGUAGGCGGAAUUGACGGUGUAGCGGUGAAAUGCUUAGAUAUCGUCAAGAACACCUAUAGCGAAGGCAGCUUACUAGGCUGUAACUGACGCUGAGGCACGAAAGUGUGGGGAUCAAACAGG